AGUGAACGCUGGCGGUAGGCCUAACACAUGCAAGUCGAACGGCAGCACAGUAAGAGCUUGCUCUUACGGGUGGCGAGUGGCGGACAGGUGAGGAAUACAUCGGAAUCUACUUUUUCGUGGGGGAUAACGUAGGGAAACUUACGCUAAUACCGCAUACGACCUACGGGUGAAAGCAGGGGAUCUUCGGACCUUGCGCGAUUGAAUGAGCCGAUGUCGGAUUAGCUAGUUGGCGGGGUAAAGGCCCACCAAGGCGACGAUCCGUAGCUGGUCUGAGAGGAUGAUCAGCCACACUGGAACUGAGACACGGUCCAGACUCCUACGGGAGGCAGCAGUGGGGAAUAUUGGACAAUGGGCGCAAGCCUGAGCCAGCCAUACCGCGUGGGUGAAGAAGGCCUUCGGGUUGUAAAGCCCUUUUGUUGGGAAAGAAAAGCAGCAGGUUAAUACCCCGCUGUUCUGACGGUACCCAAAGAAUAAGCACCGGCUAACUUCGG
rnacentral:rRNA from 1 species